rnacentral:tRNA from 4 species
GCUUGGUAGCUCAGUUGGUUAGAGCAGGGGACUCAUAAGCCCAAGGUCGGCGGUUCA